UUUAAAUCAACACAUUUUGGGAGAAAUUGGCAAAUUUUCCCCCCAUUGGCCUGCUUUCAAUGGGAAUUAAUCCUUCCUUUUUCCCACAGUAUAACGAGUUUAAAUACUUACAUUGCUACUAAUCAAGGUGGUAAUAGAGUUUUUCCUUUUCUCUAAGGUUAUAUUAGCAGAUAUAGCAAAACAAGCACCAUAAACUGGCAGUCAUAAAUGACAUAGACAAAUCACUAAAUUCCUUUUAGUUUCUGGAUAGGUCACAAGAAUGGGGCAGUUAAGAUGAACACACUCAUCUGUAUUCAUUGUUAUUUGGAGGAUUUGUGGCAAAAAGGACUUCUGACAUCAACACUUUUCAUAAGAAAAGAAAAACCUCGCCAUGCUUCUAACCUAGGAAACAGUGAAAGAGCCCUAUACCACCACCUUAGAAUGGCAUACAAGAAUGUUUGCAUAGGGCUUAACCAAAAUUUCAUCUCUGUUAAAUUAAUAAAAA